CACACACGCACACGUUCUGCAGUCAGAGGCCAGAGGGAUAUUUAAAUGGGGACACAGACACUAGGGACACAGAGACACAGACACUGGAAGACAUGGGGACACUAAGGACACUGAGAGACAUGGGGAUACUGAGACACUAGGGACAUUGGCUGGGAGGCAUGGAGACACAGGCAUGGAAACACUUGGGGACACUGGGAGACAUGGGGACAUUUGGGGAUACUAGGGACACUGAGAGACAUGGGACACAGACACUGGGAGACAUGGUGACACAGACACUAGAGACACUGGCUGGGAGACAUAGGGACACUGGGAGACAUGGGGACACUAGGGGGACACUGAGCCACUAGGGGGACUGGCUGGGAGACAUGUGGACACUGGGAGACAUGGGGACACAGAC